GAUGGAAACAACCGCCCCUGCGGCACCCACGACACAUACCACGCCCAAUCUCCCCCAACCCCCUCGCCCCCACUUCCACAUCUCAGCCGAGAAAAAUCGCCGCCCCAAGCCCCCAACACUCCUGCCGUGAUUAGGGUCUCCGGUGUAGGAGGAGCCGCGGCCCGUGGCGACUCUUCUCCCCUGCACCCCGAGCUCCGAUGGCCUCACUCUGGGAGCCGAAGUAGUCAAGGCGUGGUGGUCUCAAGCACAGAGACGCCGAUCCUGAUAGCGCCCUGGCCACGACGCCGACGGCACGCCUUCAUGGCGGUCAUGCACAUGAGAGAUAGGAGAGGGUGGCACUAACUAUGGUUGCGGCACCGAUGAGUUCGCAGGACGAGCCCUGCGCGGCAUCGGCAAGACCGGUAUAGGUUGCCGCACCGGCGAGCUCUGUGGUACAUGCGACCAUGCCGGCGCAGUUCCUCAAGAUUGGAUGUCUGCACUCGCUGGUGAUAACAGCCAUCUUGGACGCCUUCUUCGAGGACCUCGGCUUGCUUAAGGCGAUGAUUGAUCGUCCGACUUACUCUGGUUGUGGCAUAGCAUGCACACUAGGUGUUUGUUCAUUUGUUUGUGCUGCCUUUGAUAGGUUCCCUGCCUGUCGAUUUUUUUCUCUGCCAAGAAGUGCAUAUUGUUGAUUGUUCCUUCCUAAGUCUCUCGUACUGGCAUUUGUUUCUCUGUCAAGUUGUUAGCUUUGAGAUGCACUGUGCAGAUACAUAUACUUCUCUUUUUUUAUUGAAAGGAUACAUAUACUCCUACUUGUCUUUGUAACUGUAGCCCCGUCUAUCAGGUGAUUUUUUGACUUGUUGAGUUAACACCUGCUGUUUUUUCUGAAUGUUAUCUGAAUCUAGGAACCUACGUGAUUGCAUAAUUGUGGCUAAAUAUAUAUUGUUCAAUUCAUGUGUUGUGCUCCUACCUCUCUGCUCUUCUCUUGUGUGCUUACACCUUUUAUACUACUCAACUGUCUUCUAGAUUCCUGUGCGUAUCCAUGAAUGAUUUCUUAUUUUCAGUUUAAUUCCAACAGAAUACGAGGAGCAUGCCCAUGGACAAUUUCAUAUGGUCAAAGCAUGAUUGCAUGAGUAUAACCUACAUCAGCCAUGAGGGUCUUCAGGUCUGCUCUAAAAUUAUAACUUGUAGUUAUUCUAAAUUGAUAAUGCUGGCAUGUAUGUGGAAUCAAAAAUCAUAGCUUGAAUUGCUU